AUGAUACUCCCUCCGUCUGAAAAUACUUGUCAUCAAAAUGGACAAAAAGGGAUGUAUCUAAAACUAAAAUACAUCUAGAUACAUCCCUUUUAUCCAUUUUGAUGACUAGUAUUUCCGGACGGAGGGAGUAUAUA
rnacentral:pre_miRNA from 1 species